rnacentral:rRNA from 1 species
AGUGAACGCUGGCGGUAGGCCUAACACAUGCAAGUCGAACGGCAGCACAGUAAGAGCUUGCUCUUACGGGUGGCGAGUGGCGGACGGGUGAGGAAUACAUCGGAAUCUACUUUUUCGUGGGGGAUAACGUAGGGAAACUUACGCUAAUACCGCAUACGACCCACGGGUGAAAGCAGGGGAUCUUCGGACCUUGCGCGAUUGAAUGAGCCGAUGUCGGAUUAGCUAGUUGGCGGGGUAAAGGCCCACCAAGGCGACGAUCCGUAGCUGGUCUGAGAGGAUGAUCAGCCACACUGGAACUGCGACACGGUCCAGACUCCUACGGGAGGCAGCAGUGGGGAAUAUUGGACAAUGGGCGCAAGCCUGAUCCAGCCAUACCGCGUGGGUGAAGAAGGCCUUCGGGUUGUAAAGCCCUUUUGUUGGGAAAGAAAAGCAGCAGGUUAAUACCCCGCUGUUCUGACGGUACCCAAAGAAUAAGCACCGGCUAACUUCGUG